UAACAGGUGUGACGCAGAGUGGUAGUCCCGCGUGUCUUAUGGCUUGGCACGUUGAAAGGCGCAGGCCGUUUCCCAGGCAAAUCCGGGAGGCAUGGAGGUUGAGGCCUGAUCGUGACCCACAGUUGUGGGGAAGUAGGGUGAUCCUGUGCUGCCAAGAAAAGCAUCGACGCGAGGUUUUAGCCGCCCGUACCCCAAACCGACACAGGUAGUCAGGUAGAGAAUACUAAGGCGAUCGAGUGAAUCGUGGUUAAGGAACUCGGCAAAAUACCCCCGUAACUUUGGGAGAAGGGGGACCCAAGCCCUGAAGCCCCUCGCGGGCUGGGGGUGAGGGUCGCAGAGUCCAGGGAGAAGCGACUGUUUAUCAAAAACACAGGUCCGUGCGAAGCCGCAAGGCGAUGUAUACGGACUGACGCCUGCCCGGUGCUGGAAGGUUAAGCGGACCGGUCAGUCCAUCCUUUGUGGUGGGUGAAGCUGGGAAGUUAAGCCCCAGUAAACGGCGGUGGUAACUAUAACCAUCCUAAGGUAGCGAAAUUCCUUGUCGGGUAAGUUCCGACCUGCACGAAUGGCGUAACGACUUCUCCACUGUCUCGACCACGAACUCGGCGAAAUUGCAGUACGAGUAAAGAUGCUCGUUACGCGCAGCAGGACGGAAAGACCCCGGGACCUUUACUAUAGCUUGGUAUUGGUGUUCGGUACGGCUUGUGUAGGAUAGGUGGGAGACUGUGAACCAGGCGCGCUAGCGUGUGGGGAGUCGUUGUUGAAAUACCACUCUGGCCGUGCUGCACAUCUAACCUCGGCCCGUGAUCCGGGCCAGGAACAGUGCCUGGUGGGUAGUGUAACUGGGGCGGUUGCCUCCUAAAAGGUAACGGAGGCGCUCAAAGGUUUCCUCAGCCUGGUCGGUAACCAGGUGGCGAGUGUAAGUGCACAAGGAAGCUUGACUGUGAGACUGACAGGUCGAACAGGUACGAACGUAGGAACUAGUGAUCCGGCGGUGGCUUGUGGAAGCGCCGUCGCUCAACGGAUAAAAGGUACCCCGGGGAUAACAGGCUGAUCCUGCCCAAGAGUUCAUAUCGACGGCAUGGUUUGGCACCUCGAUGUCGGCUCGUCGCAUCCUGGGGCUGGAGUAGGUCCCAAGGGUUGGGCUGUUCGCCCAUUAAAGCGGUACGCGAGCUGGGUUCAGAACGUCGUGAGACAGUUCGGUCCCUAUCCGCUGCGCGCGUUGGAGAAUUGAGAAGGGCUGUCCCUAGUACGAGAGGACCGGGACGGACGAACCACUGGUGUGCCAGUUGUUCCGCCAGGAGCAUGGCUGGUUGGCUACGUUCGGGAAGGAUAACCGCUGAAAGCACCUAAGCGGGAAGCCUGCUUCAAGACCAGUUCUCCUUCAACCAUUGUGUUGUGAAGGCCCCCUAGAGACCAUGGGGUUGAUAGACCAGACGUGGACAGAAAGUAAUUUUUGGAGCUGACUGGUACUAAUGGCCAACAAC
rnacentral:rRNA from 1 species